AGCAAGCAAGAGAUUACGGCGUUGACACCGCCGCCGAAGACGAGGACAUCGUUCUGUUAUGCGAUGGCAGCGAAGAGGAAGGAGAUGCGUCCGACGAUCUAGAAACCUCUGCAACAUCUACGCCAUCGCAAGGAGAACCAAGCACAUCAGGAACACAACGUGGAAACCUGACCCCUGAUGCAACACCCCC